UACAGAGGGGGCAAGCGUUGUUCGGAAUUACUGGGCGUAAAGGGCGCGUAGGCGGCCUGUUAAGUCGGACGUGAAAUCCCUCGGCUCAACCGGGGAACUGCGUCCGAUACUGGUUGGCUUGAGUUUGGGAGAGGGAUGCGGAAUUCCAGGUGUAGCGGUGAAAUGCGUAGAUAUCUGGAGGAACACCGGUGGCGAAGGCGGCAUCCUGGACCAAUACUGACGCUGAGGAGCGAAAGCCAGGGGAGCAAAGCGGG
rnacentral:rRNA from 1 species